GAGCUUCGCAAGGGUUUACCUCCUCCCAAACCCGCGCGAUUGAGGCUGGCACCUCCUCCUCCCAGCCAGCCUUACCCUAACGACACCCGCCGCACCUCCUCCCGCGGCGGGUGUUGUUU
rfam:Paramesorhizobium deserti strain A-3-E Scaffold5, whole genome shotgun sequence.